CUUGCGGGGAAGAACCGCUGCGCGGAGCCUUCCGGACUUCGGUUCCACCUCCCCGCUGCAAAUCUGUGCUCUGCGCGCGCGGCCGCCAGCCGGGCAAAGAUCUGGCUGCGUGUGGGAAAAGACAGUAACCUGGAAACAGGCCAUCCUCAACAAGUAUAAUAAUAGGUAUAGACAGUGUCUCUUGACUCCCAGCUUUAAAAGAUGAAGAUGCCAGCAUCUCUAACCUUCCAGGCCCGGCUCCUCCCUGCCUCCUCUCCUACCACCUGCCUUGGCCAGGCAAGCUCCUCUCAUCUGGAUGACUGCGGAGGCUUCUGAGUUAAAUGAACAAAUGAAUAAAUGCUAUGAGUGUUGAAAUUAGCGAUAUGAAAUAUAAAUGUGUAUGCCCCAGGACGCCAUCUGAAAUGUAAUUGAACGUUUUUCUCUGCAGGCUGCAGGUGAGAAUAGGUGAUCAUAUAUCAGCAUAUGUAACCCAGAGAUCUAGCAGUAUGCCCGCACCCCUCUCACCCAGUAGCUAAUGUGUACCUGGUAAAAGACCGCUAGUAUCACCAGGAAGUCUGCAGACACACAGACGUGCAUCUCUGUUGACUAACUGAAAGUACAGUAGUAUGGCCGUUAGAACUUUAAGAGAGAAAUCAGAGAAUCUGAGACACUGACCACGCGAAUAACCAGAUUAUCAGAGAAUGAGCUGCUUUGCUUAGGAUGGUUGAUGGUUCUGAGAGGAGCAAGUGUGGUCCUAGUUUCAAAGAGUAUGGUGUAUGACCCACCCCCACCC